rnacentral:lncRNA from 10 species
CUCCGCGUUGCCCAGCAGCAGGAUGUGGAUCUGGACGGCUGCAAGGAAGCACAGGCAGACGGGGCCAAGAAGCCUUGCCUCCCACGCUGUGAGGGUGCCACCCAGCACUGCCGUCGGGACAAGCCAUCUCCUGGCCUUGUCAAGGCCCACUUUGUCCAGGAAGCCUACAGGUGCUGACCACGCCCCCAGCACUCUGGGCAAGCUGUCUGCCCAGGGCAGGCGCUCGGGUGAGAGCAGUGCUGGCGGGGAGAGGGAGGUUCCUCAGGGGUGCGCUUCUCCAAAGGCCCAAGUCACUUUACACCAGCCCUCAUGACACUCCACACACAGCCUGGCCCUCCAACCAGCCUCAGAAAACCAUAAUGGGUCCCCAGACCAUUCCUCUUACUCCAAAUUCUCUGCCAGUAUUUUCCCUAGUAGAAGGACUUCCCCAAAUGGAGCAUGCAUCAGAAUCCCCUGGCCGGCUUGUGAAAAUACACUGCUGGGCCCCGCCCCAGAGCUUCAGAUUGAACAGAUCUGGGUGAGGCCCUAGAAUAUGCAUUUCUCACAAGUGGUGCCGAUGUCAUUGACUCAGAGGACAAAUGUUACCAGAUGUCAUUUCUGCAAGAUAGUAAGGGAGAUUUCAAAAAUAAGAGACGCUAAAUAAAUGAGAAACUUUGCUCUAGUAAGUUUGUGAAAUACUAGGUUAAACAAAGUCAAGAGGUUCCUUACUGCAAGACUUUUCAGAGCCUUUAACCUAAGAAUCCUGUAUACGUGUGUUGGUUUCUCAAACAACUGUGACUGCAGAACCCUUUGGUUGGUGCAUCUCAGGUCACCAGAGCCUCAUGGGGCCUUCUUGGGGACCUGCUGGGGGUGGACACAUGAUCAUUGCCCCCAGACCAGGGGGUACCUGGAGGGGCCUCUGCUGUACUCACCUCUGUUCAAGAGAAACAGCCAUCCACUCACUCCCCUGCCCCGCACUGUCUUCCCCUCACUGAUCCCACCCUCACACACUGUAGCCUUCACUGGGCGAAACACCUUUAUUCCCCAGGCUGGGCCAUGGAGUAGACUUGAGCCCUCCUGAGACAGGAGCAGCAGCUUGAAGAAACCAACACACAGGCAAGCUCUGUGGCUUCAGCAGCCACAAGGACACCUCCCCAGGGAACGUCCAGCAGUCAUCACUUCCCCACUUACCACUCCAGACAAUGGAACCACCCCAGCUGAGCCUGCCCUCCUAUGCUGGCUGGCUUCUGUCAACGUCUCUGGGGGCCACUCUGCUCCUGCACUCCGAGGGCACCCCCCUGCACCCACACAUGGACCAGGGGAUGGGGAGGGCAGGGACAGCCGAGUGCAGGAGAGCACUGAAUGCCAACCGAGUCAUCCUUCCAGGGUGAGGGAAGCGGAUUUUCCCGUAUUUUCAUUUCAGCUGUUCCUGGGCAUCCUGAACUUUGCACUCCAGUCUGAGGGCUCCAAAGAAUGGCUGCCAUGGCAACCGUUUCCAUGUUUUUGUCACCAAGGGACUCAACACUCAGUGUGAACUCUGGGUGGGGGGAGCCCUCCAGCCCAGAGAAGUGGCUGGGCCGAGUGUAUUUGACUGUGCAGACAGAGGUCACCGUGGCAACUGAGUGCCCCUUAGCUAAGCAAUGGGGGAGCCACCCCCAGCAUCCCUGAGAGCCCCGCUUUCCUCUCCCCAGGACUGAGCUGAAUACGAAUGAGCUCGGGAUAUGGCUGUUUCUGCCGUGCUGGACACCUCGGACCCCUUGUACAGCUGUGGUGUCCCCAGCCAGCAUGGGCUGGAGCAGCCCAACAAGGAUGCUGCAGAAGGCACCCUGGGCUGGGGCUCCAGGAGAGCUCAGCUUUGAUCCCAGGCUCCGAGCAUCUGUUGGUGCUGUGUGCUGAAUGGUGUCCCAACAAAUUCCUCUGUUGAAACCUUACACCUUAACCCCCUGGACUUCACAGGGUGACUUUACUUGGAGAUAGGGUCUUUAAAGUAUAAUUAACUACCCAUUAAAAUUUUUAAAAAUGUUAAGUAUAAUUAAGAUGAGGUCAUUAGGGUGGGCCCUAUGACCUGUGUCCUUGUAAGAGGAGAUGAGGACACAGACACACAGAGGGAAGACCCUGUAAGGACACGAGAAGGUGGCCAUCUACAAGCCAGGAGAGGACUUGGAGGAAAGCAACCCUACCGACACCUUGAUCUUGGACUUCCAGACUCCAGAGCUGUGAGAAAUACAUUUCUGUGGUUUCAGCCACUCGGUCUGUGGUACUUUGUUCUGGCAGCCCU